GUUUUCAGCCAGGCCUGAUCCUGUUUUCUCCCGCAGUCUGACUACCUGCUUCAAGAUUACCCGGUCACCGUGGCCUCCAACCUGCAGGACGAGGAGCUCUGCGGGGCCCUCUGGCGGCUGGUCCUGGCACAGCGCUGGAUGGAGCGGCUCAAGACUGUCGCUGGGUCCAAGAUGCAAGGCUUGCUGGAGCGCGUGAACACGGAGAUACACUUUGUCACCAAAUGUGCCUUUCAGACUCCUCAACCCUGCCACCCCCAUGGAGUCCCCGGCCCCUGGAGGCCACAGCCCCGACAGCCCCACAGCCCCCUCUGCUCCUCCUACUGCUGCUGCCCGUGGGCCUCCUGCUGCUGGCCGCUGCCUGGUGCCUGCACUGGCAGAGGACGCGGCGGAGGACACCCCGCCCUGGGGAGCAGGUGAGCAGGCUGGGAAGAGGGGGUGAGGGGGCCGAGAGGGUGGCCCACUUGUGGCUGACACUUUGGGGCCCACAGGUGCCCCCCGUCCCCAGUCCCCAGGACCUGCUGCUUGUGGAGCACUGACCUGGCCAAGGCCUCAUCCUGGGGAGGAUACUGAGG
rnacentral:sRNA from 1 species